rnacentral:rRNA from 1 species
UACGGGGGGAGCAAGCGUUGUUCGGAUUUACUGGGCGUAAAGGGCGCGUAGGCGGCCAGCACAAGUCAGUUGUGAAAUCUCCGAGCUUAACUCGGAACGGUCAACUGAUACUGUGCGGCUAGAGUGCGGAAGGGGCAACUGGAAUUCUUGGUGUAGCGGUGAAAUGCGUAGAUAUCAAGAGGAACACCUGCGGCGAAGGCGGGUUGCUGGGCCGACACUGACGCUGAGGCGCGAAAGCCAGGGGAGCGAAUGGG